AGUGAACGCUGGCGGCGUGCUUAACACAUGCAAGUCGAACGAGAACGGAUUAUAGCUUGCUAUAAUUGUCAGCUAAGUGGCGCACGGGUGAGUAAUGUAUAGGUAAUAUGCCUCUUACUAAGGGAUAACAACUGGAAACGUUUGCUAAUACCUUAUACUCCUUAUUAACAUAAGUUAAUAAGGGAAAGAUUUAUUGGUAAGAGAUUAGCCUGUAUUGUAUCAGUUAGUUGGUGGGGUAAUGGCUUACCAAGACUAUGAAACAUAACUGGUUUGAGAGGAUGAUCAGUCACACUGGAACUGAGACACGGUCCAGACUCCUACGGGAGGCAGCAGUGGGGAAUAUUGCACAAUGGACGAAAGUCUGAUGCAGCAACGCCGCGUGGAGGAUGACACAUUUCGGUGCGUAAACUCCUUUUAUAUGAGAAGAUAAUGACGGUAUUAUAUGAAUAAGCACCGGCUAACUCCGUGCCAGCCGCCGCUGUAA
rnacentral:rRNA from 1 species